UGAGGAAUAUUGCUCAAUGGGCGAAAGCCUGAAGCAGCAACGCCGCGUGCGCGAUGAAGGUCUUCGGAUCGUAAAGCGCUUUUGAGAGGGACGAGAUGGGACGGUACCUCUUGAAUAAGUCACGGCUAACUACGUGCCAGCAGCCGCGGUAAAACGUAGGUGGCAAGCGUUAUCCGGAUUCACUGGGCGUAAAGCGCGUGCAGGUGGCUUCGUAAGUUGGACGUUAAAUCUUUCGGCCUAACCGGGAGGUGUCGUUCAAUACUGCGGGGCUUGAGGGUAGAAGAGGGGGGUGGAAUUGCCGGUGUAGUGGUGAAAUGCGUAGAUAUCGGCAGGAACACCUGUGGCGAAAGCGGCCCCCUGGUCUGCUCCUGACACUCAGACGCGAAAGCUAGGGGAGUGAACG
rnacentral:rRNA from 1 species